UACGGAGGGUGCAAGCGUUAAUCGGAAUUACUGGGCGUAAAGCGCACGUAGGCUGUAGUGUAAGUCAGGGGUGAAAUCCCACGGCUCAACCGUGGAACUGCCUUUGAUACUGCACAACUUGAAUCCGGGAGAGGGUGGCGGAAUUCCAGGUGUAGGAGUGAAAUCCGUAGAUAUCUGGAGGAACAUCAGUGGCGAGGGCGGCCACCUGGACCGGUAUUGACGCUGAGGUGCGAAAGCGUGGGGAGCAAACAGG
rnacentral:rRNA from 1 species